AAACUACUACCUCCGUUCCAUAAUUCUUGUCUCAAAUUUGCCCAAAUAUGGAUGUAUCUAUUCCUAAAAAAUGUCUAGAUACAUGUAAUAUUUCGACAAGAAUUAUGGAACGGAGGGAGUAAUAA
rnacentral:pre_miRNA from 1 species